GAUGAACGCUAGCUACAGGCUUAACACAUGCAAGUCGAGGGGCAGCGGUAUCGAAAGCUUGCUUUCGGUAGCCGGCGACCGGCGCACGGGUGAGUAACGCGUAUCGAACCUGCCUCAUACUCGGGAAUAGCCUUGCGAAAGUAAGAUUAAUGCCCGGUGUUUUCAGAGUCCCGCAUGAGGCUUUGAACAAAGAUUUAUCGGUAUGAGAUGGCGUUGCGUCCCAUUAGCUUGUUGGCGGGGUACCGGCCCACCAAGGCAUCGAUGGGUAGGGGUUCUGAGAGGAAGGUCCACUACAUCGGAACCAAGACACGGUCCAAAAUGCUACGGGAGGGAGCAGUGUGGAAUAUUGGUCGAGGGGCGGAAGCCUGAACCAGCCAAGUAGCGUGCAGGAACACGGCCGUCGGGGUUGUAAACUGCUUUUAGUUGGGAAUAAAACGGGGCUCGUGAGCCGCCUUGCAGGUACCAGCAGAAAAAGGACCGGCUAAUUCCGUG
rnacentral:rRNA from 1 species